rnacentral:tRNA from 1 species
CUAGAUCAGCAGGCCUUGAUCCUUCAAUAGAUUAGUUAACAACUAAACACCCAAGCCAGCGGGCUUUAACCU